rnacentral:rRNA from 1 species
GACGAACGCUGGCGGCGUGCCUAAUACAUGCAAGUAGAACGCUGAAGAGAGGAGCUUGCUCUUCUUGGAUGAGUUGCGAACGGGUGAGUAACGCGUAGGUAACCUGCCUUGUAGCGGGGGAUAACUAUUGGAAACGAUAGCUAAUACCGCAUAACAAUGGAUGACACAUGUCAUUUAUUUGAAAGGGGCAAUUGCUCCACUACAAGAUGGACCUGCGUUGUAUUAGCUAGUAGGUGAGGUAAUGGCUCACCUAGGCGACGAUACAUAGCCGACCUGAGAGGGUGUCCGGCCACACGGGAACGGAGACCCGGCCAAGACUCCUCGGGGGGGAGGCAGAAGGGAAUCUUCGGCAAUGGGGGAAAGCCGGACGGAGAACGGCGGGGGGGGUGAGGAGGGUCUCGGGUCGGAAAGACCCGUUGUUAGGGGAGAAACAGUUGGAGAGUUAAAAAUGCACGCUGUGACGGUAGCUAAUCAGAAAGCGACGGCUAACUACGUG